GGAUAAGCUAAUCUAGCUAGAUCGCCUGCAUAUACGUACUCAAGCUCCUAAGCGUUGCAUGAACAGUGUGGCCUUCGUCUAUAAGCUUCUUCACCAAUG